rnacentral:rRNA from 1 species
UUUAAAUGUAAAAUAAAUAUACUAAAGUAGUAUUAGUUAUGUUCUUGAAAUUUAAAGAUUUUGGCGGUAUUUUAGUCUAUUUAGAGGAGCCUGUUCUAUGAUUGAUAAUCCACGAUUAAUUUUACUUAAUUUAUAUAAAUUUGUAUACCGUCGUUAUAAGAAGAUUUUAAAAGAAUAUAAAUUUUUAAUAUUUUAUAUAAAAAAAUAUAUCAGAUCAAGGUGCAGUUUAUAAUUAAGAAGAAAUGGGCUACAAUAAAUUUAUUUAUUAAUAUGGAUUAAAGUAAGAAUUUGACUUUAUGAAGGUGGAUUUAAUAGUAAUAAAAUUAAUUUAAAUUUUAUGAUUUUAGCUCUAAAAUAUG